GCUACUACAGCUUGUCUAGAGCAUUUCGGCGGAAAGCUCCCCGAAAACUAAAAAUUUCCCCGCCUCUUCCCGCCUCGCCACCGCCGCCGCUCGCCUCACCGAUGACGCCGUCGCACGGCGCCGCGGCUGCGGCGGCGUCGUCCUCCGCCGGCGCCGGGCGGAGGGCCGCGACAUUCGCGGGGGCGAGCGUGUUCCUGUCGCGGAGCCUGGUGGCACCCGAGGUGUACGACGCCGUGCACGACGCGCUCCGCCUCAACGGCGCCGAGGUCUUCCUCUGCGCCGACCCCGCCCGGACGGGGCCGCUCGACUUCCACGUCAUCUCCUCCUCCUCCCACGAGAGGUUCGCGGAUCUGAGAGCCAAAGGCUGCAAUUUACUCGGACCACAGUGCAUUCUUUCCUGUGCGAAGGAACACCGCUUCCUACCUAAGCAAGGUUAUACUUGUUGUCUUGCAAUGGAUGGGGUUAAGAUACUUUGCUCAGGUUUUGAAAAAGAUGAGAAGGCAAAGAUUGAACAAUUAGUGACAGCUAUGGGAGGUACUUUACAAAACAAAGCAUACACGGAUGCUAACUUUGUAAUUGCAAAGGAUGUAUUGGCUGCCAAAUACAAAUGGGCUGUGAAUACUCUGAAGAAGCCUAUUGUCAGCAGGAACUGGUUAGAGCAAUGUUGGAUUGAACAUCGUGUUGUACCUCAUGAACCUUACAGAAUCCCUCCUUUUUCUGGGUUGAAUAUUUGCAUCACCAAACUGAAUGUAGACGAACGGAGGGAGUUGGCAAAAAUAAUAGUGCAGAAUGGUGGCCAGUAUUCAGCAAAUCUUACACGGCGGUGCACUCAUUUAGUUUCAAAUGAACCUGGAGGUGACAAGUAUGUUGUGGCCCAAAAAUGGGGUAAUAUCCACAUAGUAGUUCCCAAAUGGAUCGACCAAUCUGUUGCUCGAAAAGUUUGCCUUGAUGAAAGUGCAUACCUUGUUUGUCAGAAUUCCACUAAUAUUAAUGGUGUAAAACAUUCCCUUAAGGAACAACACAACCCUGAGAUCAGUAGUGCAAGUUUUCAACCUGUUCCAACAACAUCUGUAGAUGACUCAGUAUCAACGUCACAGUAUGUGCCUGCUUCAUUUGAUGACGCUUCAAAGAUCUGCAGUACUGAUAUUGGCGCACCUAGUUUCCAAGAGACAAAAGAACUACAGGUUGAUAGCCAUGUUGCUGAGGACUCAGAGGCAGAAGAUGAUGACCUUUAUUUAUCAAAUUGUAGAAUUUCUCUGGUGGGUUUUGAGGAGAAAGAGUCGUCAAGGUUAGUCAUGAUGAUACGCAAUGGUGGUGGAUCCCGGCAUGUUAUGUUAAGUGAGAGACUCACACAUAUUAUUCUUGGUGCACCAUCAGAGGAAGAAAAAAAGGAGGUGAGACGUCUGGCUGCUUGGGGUGUAAUCAAUGUGGUAAAAGCAACAUGGUUAGAAGACUGCAACAAAGCAAAAAAGGAGGUGAAAGUAUCCCCAAGUUAUGUGGCUAAUGAGUUGCUCGCGAAAGAGUUUUCAUGUGCGGUUAUGGAAAAAACUGUUAUGCGGGAAACAAAAGCAGCCAAAAACUCAGGUGGAAUUUUUCAUAUUCCAACCGUCAAUGACUUGCAUGAUAAACAACUUGGAAACGAUCUGUCAUCUGAAAGAAAAUCAGCACGGGGCAAACAUGAAACCAUGAAUAGUAACCGGACAGCAACGAAGUCUGCAAUAUCAAGUCAACAGAAUGGAGUGGCUAGUACUAGCGAGUACCACCCCAAAUUUCAAGUAAACUCUUCUGCAAUAAAUCGGCAGAGUAGCAGAUCAUCAAAUACUUUCAAAGGGAGAAUAUUUUGUUUCUCAAAUUCAUUUUCCCACGAUCGGAGAGCUCAGGUUGUUGACUGGGUCAGAGAAGGUGGAGGCAUUAUGGUGGAUGAUGCACAAUCAACAGUUGUGGAUUUCAUUAUCGAGAGCCACGGACAGAAUAGCAUGCUCCGCGACUCUUCUCAUUCAACUGCUGUUUCCACUCAUUGGAUACGCUCAUGUUUGGAGGAGGGCUGCUUCCAAGAUGUGGGAAGCCAUCCUAUUUUCUCACCUUUGUGCUGUCGCAUCCCGUUUCCUGGGUUUGAAGAUUUUCGUUUCUGUGUGUCACAAUAUGAAGAGAAAGAUAGACUUCUGCUGAAGAACUUGUGCUUUAUCCUCGGAAGUAAAUUUACAGAGAAAGCAACAAAGAAAGUGACCCAUCUUAUCUGCAAAUUUGCAAGUGGUCCAAAGUAUGAGGCUUACUAUAGUAGGGGAAUUCCAACCAUAACAGCAGAGUGGCUCUUUGAGUGUGUAAGACAGCACACUGUUUGCAGGAUAGAAUUGUCCCUUUUGACCAGUUUCAGCCAAAACCACCUACUUCUCAGGACAGAGAUGCUGGUCUAUGCACUGUUAGUCAAUAUCCCACACAGGCCGCAAAGACAAUUUCCAGAUUUGACUGCUCUGAGUCGCAUACUGAAUCUCAAUUACCAAGAAGCAGUUCAAAAUACAACUCCGGUAAUGCCUCUGUUAAUGAGGAACCAAAUGAUCCUGGUGUUAGUAAAAGGAGGCGAUUAUCCGAGUUUGGCAAAGCUAAUGAUACAUCUGGAAACAUAGGAAGAACUGAGGAACUCCAGGAUAGUACCCCUGUUCCUGAUGUUGCAGAUGCAAUAGAGGACCUACUGGUUCAAUCAUCCAAGAUUCAGGACGUACAACCUCCUAGGAGUAUUUUUGCACCCGAUGAUUCUGUUCUUAAUCAAGAUCAGGAAAAUACACACUCUUUUGGCAUUUCAAGGCACUGGUUGAACAUGCCACAGAAGCUACACAGCACCCCUGACACGAAAGUUCAAAGUGGGAACUCAGCCACCACCUCUGCUGCCCCUCCUGCCGCAGCCACUGCCUAUUAUCCUUUCAGUGAAACUCAGACUGAGUCUCAGGUCGUUGGCUAUGAAGAAGAUUUGACUGGCAGGCAAAAGAUUAUCGACAGAGUUCGUUCUCAGAGCAUUAAUGUCACCCCGGCAGCUGAAAUGUCUUCCGAUACUUAGGAGACGAUCAGAUCUGUCCAUAAAUUGCAGUGGAAGAACAAUAGUAUCAUGAAAUCUACCUGUCCAGCCUUGUUGGUAUUUUUCAGCAAGACAGCAAGAGUGCAAGACAGAUGGAAUAUAAUCUGGAGGCUAUUCCAAGGCAGAGAACAUGUGCGAAUGGUCACCAAGUUCAGAAGAUUCUCAUGGAAUGUCACUGAGCAAAGUGCCUGUACCUCAACUUUGGCAUCCAGUAAAUCUAACCCAGCUGUAUAUUACCAAGAACGUUUCUUGAUUAUUAGAUCCGAGGGUAGCAAAGCUAAUGGAGACGCUCUUUUUUUUUUUGGUUGAGUACAGUGGCUCUGGAGCGUGUAGCAUGUCAAAAAGGCUGUACACUCUAGUAUUUAGCAGCUCAGUUGGUGACUUGGUGUUAUGGUUGGCUUAUGAAAGCACCAGAGGCCAAAUUUUGUUCAUCUCUCGUAUGAUGUACAGGGGCAGAUCUGAAAGACGGAGAAGCAGGUUAGAGUCCAGAACUGAAGGGCCAAACUUUGUCCUGUUUCGAAUUACAAUUUGGCUGUUUUGCACAAUUCAACGGAAAAUUUAACACAGGCAAGUAAUCUGUCUGUAAGUAACACAACGUUGCGUGAUCUA